rnacentral:rRNA from 1 species
AGAGUUUGAUUCUGGCUCAGAACGAACGCUGGCGGCAUGGAUUAGGCAUGCAAGUCGAACGCCGAUAGCAAUAUCGGAGUGGCGCAAGGGUGAGGAACACGUGAGUAAUCUGCCCUCGAGUUGGGAAUAGCUCCGGGAAACUGGAAUUAAUACCGAAUAAUAUUGUGAGACCGCAUGGUCUUGCACUUAAAGCAGCAAUGCGCUUGAGGAGGAGCUCGCGUCCCAUUAGCUAGUUGGUGAGGUAACGGCCCACCAAGGCGAUGAUGGGUAGCUGGUCUGAGAGGACGAUCAGCCACAGUGGGACUGAGAACUGCCCACACUCCUACGGGAGGCUGCAGUCGAGAAUUUUGGGCAAUGGGCGAAAGCCUGACCCAGCAAUGCCGCGUGCGGGAUGAAGGUCUUCGGAUUGUAAACCGCUGUCAAGAGGGACGAAAUUUGACGGUACCUCUGAAGGAAGCCACGGCUAACUACGUGCCAGCAGCCGCGGUAAUACGUAGGUGGCGAGCGUUGUUCGGAUUUAUUGGGCGUAAAGGGUCCGCAGGUGGUUGGUUAAGUUUGAUGUGAAAUCCCGGAGCUCAACUCCGGAACUGCAUUGAAAACUGAUCGACUAGAGUAUCGGAGAGGAGAUUGGAAUUCCAGGUGUAGCGGUGGAAUGCGUAGAUAUCUGGAAGAACACCGAAAGCGAAGGCAGAUCUCUGGACGAUUACUGACACUCAGGGACGAAAGCAUGGGUAGCAAACAGGAUUAGAUACCCUGGUAGUCCAUGCCCUAAACGUUGUAAACUUGAUGUGGGCGGAAUUACUCCCGUUCGUGUCGAAGCAAACGCGAUAAGUUUACCGCCUGGGGACUACGGCCGCAAGGCUAAAACCUGUCUCUUAUACACAU